AUUGAACGCUGGCGGCAUGCCUUACACAUGCAAGUCGAACGGCAGCAUGAUCUAGCUUGCUAGAUUGAUGGCGAGUGGCGAACGGGUGAGUAAUACAUCGGAACGUGCCCUGUAGUGGGGGAUAACUAGUCGAAAGAUUAGCUAAUACCGCAUACGACCUGAGGGUGAAAGUGGGGGACCGCAAGGCCUCAUGCUAUAGGAGCGGCCGAUGUCUGAUUAGCUAGUUGGUGAGGUAAAGGCUCACCAAGGCGACGAUCAGUAGCUGGUCUGAGAGGACGAUCAGCCACACUGGGACUGAGACACGGCCCAGACUCCUACGGGAGGCAGCAGUGGGGAAUUUUGGACAAUGGGGGCAACCCUGAUCCAGCAAUGCCGCGUGUGUGAAGAAGGCCUUCGGGUUGUAAAGCACUUUUGUCCGGAAAGAAAUCGCACUUACUAAUAUUAGGUGUGGAUGACGGUACCGGAAGAAUAAGGACCGGCUAACUACGUGCCAGCAGCCGCCGCCGUAA
rnacentral:rRNA from 1 species